UACGUAGGGUCCGAGCGUUGUCCGGAGUUACUGGGCGUAAAGCGCGCGCAGGCGGCGGUGUUGGCCCGGCGUGAAAGCCCCCGGCGUCAACCGGGGAGGGUCGUCGGGGACCGCACCGCUUGAGGGCGGUAGGGGCUGGUGGAAUGCCUGGUGUAGUGGUGAAAUGCGUAGAGAUCAGGCGGAACACCCGUGGCGAAGGCG
rnacentral:rRNA from 1 species